AGGGCACCACCAGGAGUGGAGCCUGCGGCUUAAUUUGACUCAACACGGGAAAACUCACCCGGCCCGGACACUGGAAGGAUUGACAGAUUGAGAGCUCUUUCUUGAUUCAGUGGGUGGUGGUGCAUGGCCGUUCUUAGUUGGUGGAGCGAUUUGUCUGGUUAAUUCCGAUAACGAACGAGACUCUAGCCUACUAAAUAGAUCGUUGGCUUACAAACGCUAACGAGACUUCUUAGAGGGACAGGCGGUGAUUCAACCGCACGAAACAGAGCAAUAACAGGUCUGUGAUGCCCUUAGAUGUCCGGGGCCGCACGCGCGCUACACUGAAGUGAUCAGCGUGCAUUUCAAGCCUACUCUGUCAAGAGUGGGAAACCCAAUGAACCUUCUUCGUGAUUGGGAUAGGGGAUUGUAAUUAUUCCCCUUGAACGAGGAAUUCCCAGUAAGCGCGAGUCAUAAGCUCGCGUUGAUUACGUCCCUGCCCUUUGUACACACCGCCCGUCGCUACUACCGAUUGAAUGUUUU
rnacentral:rRNA from 1 species